rnacentral:rRNA from 1 species
UACGUAGGGGGCUAGCGUUAUCCGGAAUUACUGGGCGUAAAGGGUGCGUAGGUGGUUUCUUAAGUCAGAGGUGAAAGGCUACGGCUCAACCGUAGUAAGCCUUUGAAACUGGGAAACUUGAGUGCAGGAGAGGAGAGUGGAAUUCCUAGUGUAGCGGUGAAAUGCGUAGAUAUUAGGAGGAACACCAGUUGCGAAGGCGGCUCUCUGGACUGUAACUGACACUUAGGCACGAAAGCGUGGGGAGCAAACAGGAUUAGAUACCCUGGUAGUCCCUGAGCGGG